GGGUUUCACAGAUAGUGCGCAAGGAUUUUUUUGGGGGGGGGGUGUUUCUUUUUUUAAAAAAACUGCUGCAAUUGUUAAAUCGUCCCACACUGAAAGGUAUUUAAACCACGAAGAUCGAAUUUCAUCUAGCAAGAUCUCCAGUUGGAAUUAGGUCUGUAGGCUAGAUGUGGGAAACGCAAAAACAGCAAACAGCCUAAGCCAUGCUCGUUCCUUUCUCUCCUAGAGGCGUGAAAUAAAAUAUUUUGAAAUUGGUCCUUGGAGCACCUCAGAUCGCGUCUCUCCGACUAUUCCAAUUACCGAUCACUUUUCCACAAAACAUUGUGAGGACCAUUUUCAGAAGAUCGAAACUUGCUAGCAUGUUAUCACUGUAAGAAACGACAUCAUUAAUUUUCCUCUGUGGUAAAACUAGACCGAGCCUUGAGUGUACGAAUCCAUAUUUACAGUUGGGAGGCAGCUACUCUCGUCGACACGGGUUGUUUUCCUAGCCUGCUGCCAACAUCGGAGGGACUCUCAUUUUGAACUUGUCUGUGCACAGCAUCAAGUGUGCUCCUGGAAGAGAGGCAACAGCGAGGAAAUCCUAAAAGACCGAGUCCUAGUCUCAGAAGAAAUCGCCUGCAAGGUUGAGAGACAGAAAGAAAAUCCCUGGAAACUCCACGUCUAACCCAGGCUAAAGGCAAAGCUCUACAGCGGUGUGUAGGAUAUCUCUCUCGUUCGCUACAGCCCUUGCCACCGAAGUACCAGACGCUUUUAGUGUGUGAAAGACCAGGCGUUGAUUUAAUGUAUCUGGAAGGGAGAGGGGAUAGAGGAUGCAACUUAAUAAAUAUUCCUCUAGUCUCGCUCAUGAAAACAUCCAAAACAUCUUUCGGCGUUUGCAUUUAAUGACUGCAACGUGAACGAUGGAGGCGAGAAGCAGUCGAGGGAAUGGCUCGUUUCUCUUAGUGUUGGCUCGGAAUUGUCAAACAGUUACUUUCUGUUCAUUGUAGGGAAAUAGGUCACACUUUGAGUGAAAAGGACAGUUGGUUCAAGCCAAUAACCCUUUGUUCAAGUGCUGUUUGACAGUCCCUGAGCAGAACAUCGUUGCGUGAAGUUUCAUCUCCUGUCCAGUACCUUUAGAUACAUUAUUAAAUCCCAAAGUCAUAUUCCACGGAGCGCCUGGAAGGAAUAUUUCGUCGAAACGCGUCUUGCCAACCAACGUGUUAGCACCCGUAAGGAAGCCUGCUGGACUGGCCCGAGAACCCAGCCGCCAGGAUGGACACGAAUCCCUCAUUAGCAGUUCCAACUUGAAAAGCCAACUGGGCUGGUCCAACACCACCAUCCAGGAGAUUCCCAAAGGCUCAAAAGGCAAUCUGUGCACCCACCCCACGGGAACCUUGCCCCUUCCUCUGCGUCUCCCUCCGGUUUUAAAUUGGGAUGAUUGCUAGUUCGCUUUCGGAUUUUUUCUCCCAGACAUUCGGGGGCUGCUUUUGUGGCUCCUUUGUUAACAGGCUGUCGUGCAGCUUUCCCCCCUUUUCUUUCUCCAAUGCCUAUUUGCCUGGUAUCGGCUCGUCUCCGGGGCAACCGCGGGGAAGAUUCGGAGCCCCAGGCGCCGGGAGGGGGAAGGGGCGGAGCCCGGCGGAGUGGGGGCGGGGAGGGGCGCGAGAGGAGGGGCGGAGGGAGUGGGUCAGGAGGAGACCCCAGGACCCACGAGGAGCAGAUGGCCGCUCCGGGGCGGAGCCCGUGAGCGUCAGGGGAGCGGGAGAGCCAAUCCGUCCCUGCAGCAGCGCGGGAGCGAGCCAACGAGAGUAAACACGCGGGCUGUCCCCCCCCCCCCNNNNNNNNNNNNNNNNNNNNNNNNNNNNNNNNNNUUUGGGCGGAGCUCUGAAAUCUCCCUCUCCCUUUCCUCCCCUCCCACCCCGACUCAGGCACCCACUAAGCCUGGCGGGAAUGGAAGAGGCGGGUGGAUGGGAGAGCGGGGCGGGGCUGGGAAAAGGGAAGAGAUUGACUCUUGCUAUGAACCUUAAGGAAUGCCAGCAAGCUAUUGGAGCUGCUGGUCUUUACCUGCUGCAGUUCCCCUACAGUUUGGUGGUCUCCCCGUAGAGUUAAGGGUUGGGGGGGGGGAGGCGGGGAAACACCCGCCAAAUGCAUUUAUAUAAGUGAGAUUAAAGAACCCAUAAGGACAUUAAAAAUUGGAAGCAGGCGCCUAUAGCCAACUCAAAAGGGAACACAGACUUUUAUUCUCCAUUUGCACUGUUUAUGGAGGGAUGUGGUGUGUAUGAGUGUACAGUCUUACUGCGCAAUACAGGCUGACCUCCAACCCUUUGGAGCCCAGACUAGUCUAAAACUCAUGAUUCACAGGGUCUACUUCUCAACUGCUAGCGACUAACAGGGGUGUGCUAUUACUGCCAGCUCUGUGCUCCCAUUUAUUCUGACCUGGUGGCACCAUAGCUAAAGGUGCUUGCGUUCAAGUCUGAAAACCUAAAUCCAUCAUCCCAAGACCCAGAUGGUGUGUAGAUAGAACCAACUCUUGAAAAGGUUCCCCGACCGACCCUCACCCCUGGCAUACACUACACAAAAAUUUAAUGUAAUAUGAUGUAGUAAUCUGUAUACGGUCUUCCUAUACAGAUUACCACCAAUGCAUCUAAGAUGCACCACAGAAGAAAUCAGAGGUCAGGAUGGUUUAAAAUGUCAGUUUAGGGCAGAAGAGCACUUGCCAUGCAAGCAUGAGGACCUGAGUUCAAAUCCACAGCACCUGUGUAAAAAGCCAGCCCAGGUGUGUGAGCAAGCCCAGUGCUGGGGGAAGAUCUUUGAGCCUUAUUGGCCGACAGUCUAGCUCUAGGUUUAGUGAGAGAGUAAUAGGCACCUGAUUGCAGAGAGAAUAUCUUGUGUAUUGUAUGGAUACACCACCUGUCAAUUAAAAAGCCAAUGGCCAAUGGCUUAGGCAGGAAAUAGGUGGUGGGACAUCUGGGAAGCAGAAAGAAUUCUGGGAUAGAGCCAGGUGUGGGAGAUUUGCCUGGGAAAUUUUGAAGAGACGGACACAUGGUACUUGAGCACAGGUAACCAGCCAUGUGACAGAAUGUAGAUUAGAAUAAAUGAGUUAUGUUUAGUUAUGAUCUAAUCAGAAAAGAACAUAGCAUUAUGGCCAAGGUAUUUGUAAAUAUGUUUUGAGUCUGAGUCUUAUUUCUGGGAUCAUGGGGCUGGGAGGAAGAACCAGGCCCAACAUCUAUACCCGAUACCUCCUCUGACCUUCACAUUUAUGCACAUGGGCAUGGGCCCUCCACACACCAGUGCAUACACCACUACAUACGCACUUGUUUAUAAAAGUAUGGAAUAGUAAGAAUUCUAAGUGCAAAUGUUUUUAAAAUCCAGGUCAUAAGAAUAUGCAACAGAUGGCAGGUAGGGUCCAAAAAAUCACUCUGUGUAACUUGUGCUAUAAAAGGAUGAGCAGAAGAAGAGAGACUGAAGAAGGCUGAAAAGAAACUCUAAAGUAGUAGGGUAAAAAGUAAAAUCAGGAGUGUAGUCGGGGAAAUCAUGGUAGAUGUGGUACUGAGGAGGAACGGCUCAUUUUGCCAAAUGCUAGAGGCUAAUCAAGUAAAAUAAAGACUGAAGACAUUAUAGACAUUAUUGCUUUUAUUUUUCUUUUUCCAAAUGAUGCCUGACUCUAAUCCAGGCUGUCCUCGAACCCACUAUGUAGUCCAAACUGUCCUUGUGUUCUCAACAAUUUUCUUACCUCUGUGCUCCAAGUGCUGGAUUCACAGGCAGAAACUGCCAUAUCCAAACUUCUAGAGCAGUUUUUGUAGCAUGCUGAGAAAGGACACGUGUUUAGGGCUUGAAGUGUUGAGCGUAAAUGGGAACACACUUUUAAUAAAUAAAUAAAUAAAUAAAUAAAUAAAUAAAUAAA
ensembl:processed_transcript 5930403N24Rik RIKEN cDNA 5930403N24 gene